rnacentral:rRNA from 1 species
CCCUUAGAUGUUCUGGGCUGCACGCGCGCUACACUGAAGCGUUCAACGAGUAUUUCACCUUGCCCGGGAGGGUUGGGUAAUCUUUUUAAAACGCUUCGUGAUGGGGAUAGAUUAUUGCAAUUAUUAAUCUUCAACGAGGAAUUCCUAGUAAGCGCGAGUCAUCAGCUCGUGCUGAUUACGUCCCUGCCCUUUGUACACACCGCCCGUCACUCCUACCGAUUGAGUGAUCCGGUGAAUAAUUCGGACUGCAGCAGUGCUUGGUCCUCCGGGCUUUGCAGCGGAAAGUUUAGUGAACCUUAUCACUUAGAGGAAGGAGAAGUCGUAACA